rnacentral:sRNA from 1 species
UCACAGAUAUCAUGUAGCCUAAUAUAUCUUUGAUUUUGUUUCUUUGUUUGGUUUAUUUUUGGCUUCUUUAAUUACCUUACCUUUGUGGUAGAGGUUGAAAUAUAAUCCAUAAUAUUUCAUUGUAAUGUAAUUUUAAAUUACGUGGUUUUAUUUAUUCCGUACAAAUACAUGUAUACCCAAGUCAGUGUAAUAAAUUUUCAGACGUAUCCAU